rnacentral:rRNA from 1 species
AUGAACGCUGGCGGUAUGCCUAACACAUGCAAGUCGAACGGGGUAGCAAUACCUAGUGGCGGACGGGUGAGGAAUACGUAGGGAUCUGCCCUUAAGUGGGGGAUAACCCGGGGAAACCCGGAUUAAUACCGCAUGAUCUCGCAAGAGCAAAGAGGGGGACCGCAAGGCCUCUCGCUUUUGGAGGAACCUACGUCGGAUUAGCUAGUUGGUGAGGUAAUGGCUCACCAAGGCGACGAUCCGUAACUGGUCUGAGAGGAUGAUCAGUCACACCGGAACUGAGACACGGCCCAGACUCCUACGGGAGGCAGCAGUGGGGAAUAUUGGACAAUGGGCGAAAGCCUGAUCCAGCAAUACCGCGUGUGUGAAGAAGGCCUUCGGGUUGUAAAGCACUUUAAGUUGGGAAGAAAAAGCUUCACCUAAUACGUGAAGCCUUGACGGUACCGACAGAAUAAGCACCGGCUAACUCUGUGCCAGCAGCCGCGGUAAUACAGAGGGUGCUAGCGUUAAUCGGAUUUACUGGGCGUAAAGCGUGCGUAGGUGGUUUGAUAAGUCGAUUGUGAAAGCCCCGGGCUUAACCUGGGAAUUGCGGUCGAUACUGUCAGACUCGAAAACGGUAGAGGGAGGUGGAACUCCAGGU